GACGUAGGGCGCGAGCGUUGUCCGGAUUUAUUGGGCGUAAAGAGCUCGUAGGCGGCUCAUUGCGUCAACCGUGAAAUCCUGCUGCUCAACGGCAGGUCUGCGGUUGAUACGGGUGGGCUGGAGUUCGGUAGGGGAGACUGGAAUUCCUGGUGUAGCGGUGAAAUGCGCAGAUAUCAGGAGGAACACCGGUGGCGAAGGCGGAUCUCUGGGCCGAUACUGACGCUGAGGAGCGAAAGCGUGGGGAGCGAACAGG
rnacentral:rRNA from 1 species